GGGGAAUAUUGGACAAUGGGCGCAAGCCUGAUCCAGCCAUGCCGCGUGGGUGAAGAAGGCCUUCGGGUUGUAAAGCCCUUUUGUUGGGAAAGAAAAGCAGCCGGCCAAUACCCGGUUGUUCUGACGGUACCCAAAGAAUAAGCACCGGCUAACUUCGUGCCAGCAGCCGCGGUAAUACGAAGGGUGCAAGCGUUACUCGGAAUUACUGGGCGUAAAGCGUGCGCAGGCGGUUUUGUAAGACAGUGGUGAAAUCCCCGGGCUCAACCUGGGAGCUGCCAUUGAGACUGCAUAUCUAGAGUGCAGGAGAGGAAAGCGGAAUUCCUAGUGUAGCGGUGAAAUGCGUAGAUAUUAGGAAGAACACCAGUGGCGAAGGCGGCUUUCUGGACUGUAACUGACGCUGAUGCAUGAAAGCGUGGGGAGCAAACA
rnacentral:rRNA from 1 species